AUAAUGUUUUAAAUCCGCGAGCGGAGCCGCGACAUGUAAUUUAUAAAAUAUUAUUACAAAAUAAAAACUUUCGUCAUGGUCGACGAUAUAUUUUUAAGCAUUUUUAUAUUAUUGCUUAAACUUAAAAUCAGUUACGCUCACAUUGACGGCGCAAAGCUAGAAGAGGAAUGUAAAAUCGCGGACAUAUGCCGUCACGACCAAGUACCUGUAUGCGGAAUCGAUUCCUGCGGGGAAAUGAGAACAUUCAUCGAUACCUGUGACAUGCACGAGUUCAACUGCGACAGCAAAAAAGAUUUCGUACAAAAGCCUGUCCAUGAAUGCUGGGUGACGUGCAAACGCGGCAGAAGCUUCAAGAAGAGCGCCUACGGGGUCGACUGUGACCUAAAAAAUAUUAUUAAGUAGGCAGAUGAUAGUUUAGCUUAGGAAUUAUUUUUAUUGUGUUUCAAAACAUCAUAUUAGUUUUAAACAACACAAUUAUAACGUUAAAAUUUCUAAUCGAAUAUAUUAUUUAUUUAAAUAUAAAUGAAUUUAUUCAUAAAUUAAUUUUUAGAUUCGAAUAAAAAAAGAAAUUAAAAUAUACGUUUAUUAAAAACAAGUAUAUAAAUAAAUGAAACAAUAACUUACGCAAACGUACUUAUUGUUCGAGAUCACAGUUCAACUUUAAUAUAUACGAAUAACAAAAUUAUACAAUUACAUUAUUACUUAUUAUCUAAAUCUUAAAAAAUAACUACAAUGUUUUAUUGAAAUAAACCGACGUUGUUAAAAUUG